rnacentral:rRNA from 1 species
UUGAUCCUGGCUCAGAACGAACGCUGGCGGCAGGCUUAACACAUGCAAGUCGAACGAGAAGCCAUCCUUCGGGGUGGUGGAAAGUGGCGCACGGGUGAGUAACACGUGGGAACCUACCCUUUGGUUGGGAAUAACCGCGGGAAACUGCGGCUAAUACCGAAUAAGCCCUACGGGGGAAAGAUUUAUCGCCGAAGGAUGGGCCCGCGCCGGAUUAGCUUGUUGGUAGGGUAACGGCCUACCAAGGCUACGAUCCGUAGCUGGUCUGAGAGGAUGGUCAGCCACACUGGGACUGAGACACGGCCCAGACUCCUACGGGAGGCAGCAGUGGGGAAUAUUGGACAAUGGGCGCAAGCCUGAUCCAGCCAUGCCGCGUGAGUGAAGAAGGCCCUAGGGUUGUAAAGCUCUUUCACCGGGGAAGAUAAUGACGGUACCCGGAGAAGAAGCCCCGGCUAACUCCGUGCCAGCAGCCGCGGUAAUACGGAGGGGGCUAGCGUUGUUCGGAAUUACUGGGCGUAAAGAGCGCGUAGGCGGUUUAUUAAGUCAGAUGUGAAAGCCCCGGGCUUAACCUGGGAACUGCAUUUGAAACUGGUCAACUAGAGUAUGGUAGAGGAAAGUGGAAUUUCUGGUGUAGCGGUGAAAUGCGUAGAUAUCAGAAGGAACAUCAAUGGCGAAGGCAGCUUUCUGGACCAAUACUGACGCUGAGGUACGAAAGCGUGGGUAGCAAACAGGAUUAGAUACCCUGGUAGUCCACGCCGUAAACGAUGAUAACUAGCCGUUGGGGGGAUUUACCCCUUAGUGGCGAAGCUAACGCGUUAAGUUAUCCGCCUGGGGAGUACGGCCGCAAGGCUAAAACUCAAAGGAAUUGACGGGGACCCGCACAAGCGGUGGAGCAUGUGGUUUAAUUCGAUGCAACGCGAAGAACCUUACCUGGUCUUGACAUCCUGCGAACUUUCUAGAAAUAGAUUGGUGCCUUCGGGAACGCAGUGACAGGUGCUGCAUGGCUGUCGUCAGCUCGUGUCGUGAGAUGUUGGGUUAAGUCCCGUAACGAGCGCAACCCCUAUCCUUAUUUGCCAGCACAUUAUGGUGGGAACUAUAAGGAGACUGCCGGUGAUAAACCGGAGGAAGGCGGGGACGACGUCAAGUCAUCAUGGCCCUUACGACCAGGGCUACACACGUGCUACAAUGGGAAGGACAAAGAGCCGCGAAGCCGCGAGGUGUAGCUAAUCUCAUAAAUCUUUUCGUAGUCCGGAUUGGAGUCUGCAACUCGACUCCAUGAAGUCGGAAUCGCUAGUAAUCGUAGAUCAGAAUGCUACGGUGAAUACGUUCCCGGGUCUUGUACACACCGCCCGUCAUACCAUGGGAGUGGGUUGCACCAGAAGUGGCUAGUCUAACUUUGUGAGGACGGUCACCACGGUGUGAUUCAUGACUGGGGUAAAGUCGUAACAAGGUAGCC